GCUGGUGUAGCUCAGUGGCCAGAGCAACGGUUUUGUAAACCGUGGGUCGUGGGUUCGAAUCCCACCGCCAGCUCCA
rnacentral:tRNA from 1 species